AAAGAGUUUAAAAGUUUGGGAAUCCCUUCUUCCCAAAUCAUUUCUAUUCUAUUUCUACUGGUGUUUAGACACACUUCAGUACAGCUGUAUGGAUGAAUGUUGGAUCACCAUAACUCACCAGAGACAAAAAACAAAACAAAAAACACCUACACUGAUCCUGAAACACAGGAAAACAUGCUGACACUUUAUAUGUGUGUGUGUGUGUGUGUGUGUGUGUGCGCACUGACCCCUGACCUCAAACGCUCAGCCCCACCCAUGACGCUGAUGCCCACUGAUGAUGUCACUCUUAUUUACACAUGGCGAAGGGGCCAAUUAAAACACGUGAUGAGGAACACAGAUGAUCUUCACAAACUCAUCAAUCUGAGGCAGCUCUCCCACAAUCCACCAGAAGUCAAAUAAAUGACCCUCAGUUCAUUACCAUCACACGUCAGUCCCAUCACGCCUGGAAAACAUCACGUUAAAUGAAGCUCACAGCUAAAUCACGGCAGGACGUUUAUAAAUGACAGACAUUAAAAUCAUCACCAGUAAAAAUACACAGAGACACAAACGGCUACAGAUGUGCGGGAAGCACUUUCAGGAUGAAAAUGUGAAAGAGAUUAAAAUAAAAAGCCAACAGAAAGAAACAACAAGCAGCGAAUCUGACCGGGACCGAAACACGCUCAGAGACCAGCUCUGAAACCGGCCAGAGGAUCUAAUCACACAAACAUGAGGAAGACCGCUGCUGCCGCCCAUGUGCUUCCACUGCUUCAUUAGCCACUGAUCAGCGCUCAGGAAUCUGGGCCGAAUAUCUCCCAGCACUCAACCUCACGUGCUGGAUCUCCAAGAACAUGAGGAGUCCAGGAUUCCUGUGCACUGACUCAGAGCAGACGAGGAAAACAUGCUCCGAAAACAAGAAAAAUAUGAGCGAGAGAGAGGUGGCCCUCUCCACUAAUUUGAUAUUUUCCUCACACCUCUCGCCUGAUUGGAAGCCGGUUAAAAUCCAGGACAUAUCCAGCCCAGAUGGUGGAUCAGCACCUAGAGAUGACCUCUACUGCCCUGAAAGACAGCAGAGACCAGGACAACUAGAGCCCCAGAUACAGAUCCCCUGUGAAGACCUCGUCACCUCGACGAGUAGAAGACCAUCAUUACAAGACCACAGGAACAAGACAAGUCUUCUGCUCAAUCUGAACUGUGCUGCAGUCUGUAAUUAAACCACACCAUGCUGGUCUGGCCAGAGCCUGGUUUCUCCCAGGGUUUUCCUCCAUUUCUGUCACAGAUGGAAUUUUGGUUUCUUGCUACUGUCGCCUUUGGCUUGCGUAGUUGGGGACGCUUGACUGAUUGCACAGACGCUAUCGGAAAAUAACUGAACUGGAUGACGACAUCACUGAAUCAUCAAUGAACUGACUUUAACUGGAAAAUGACUCUGUUAUUGUCUUCUUGAAUUACUGACAAUCUAUUUUGCUGUUUAACACUGUAAAGUUGCUUUUGUAAAAAGCGCUACAUAAACAAAGGUGUCUUGACUU